UACAGAGGUCUCAAGCGUUGUUCGGAUUCAUUGGGCGUAAAGGGUGCGUAGGUGGCGGGGUAAGUCAGGUGUGAAAUCUCGGGGCUCAACCCGGGAACUGCGUCCGAUACUGGCAGGCUUGAAUUCGGGAGAGGGAUGUGGAAUUCCAGGUGUAGCGGUGAAAUGCGUAGAUAUCUGGAGGAACACCGGUGGCGAAGGCGGCAUCCUGGACCGAUAUUGACGCUGAUGCGCGAAAGCCAGGGGAGCAAACGGG
rnacentral:rRNA from 1 species